rnacentral:rRNA from 1 species
AGUGAACGCUGGCGGUAGGCCUAACACAUGCAAGUCGAACGGCAGCACAGUAAGAGCCUGCUCUUACGGGUGGCGAGUGGCGGACGGGUGAGGAAUACAUCGGAAUCUACUUUUUCGUGGGGGAUAACGUAGGGAAACUUACGCUAAUACCGCAUACGACCUACGGGUGAAAGCAGGGGAUCUUCGGACCUUGCGCGAUUGAAUGAGCCGAUGUCGGAUUAGCUAGUUGGCGGGGUAAAGGCCCACCAAGGCGGCGAUCCGUAGCUGGUCUGAGAGGAUGAUCAGCCACACUGGAACUGAGACACGGUCCAGACUCCUACGGGAGGCAGCAGUGGGGAAUAUUGGACAAUGGGCGCAAGCCUGAUCCAGCCAUACCGCGUGGGUGAAGAAGGCCUUCGGGUUGUAAAGCCCUUUUGUUGGGAAAGAAAAGCAGCAGGUUAAUACCCCGCUGUUCUGACGGUACCCAAAGAAUAAGCACCGGCUAACUUCGUG